GAGCAGGCCCGGCGCGGCGGAGCCUUGCGAACCCCGUCAGGUCCGAGAGGAAGCAGCGGUAAGGAAGGUACUUCGGGUGCCGCCGGUCUCCUGCUCAGA
rnacentral:SRP_RNA from 1 species